AUGCGGUGGCCAUGGUCGCCGCCUGGUGGGUACUGGCUCGAAGGUGAAGAGGUACACCAGCAGUUGGAUCAAGACUAUAUGAGGGAAGCCAUGGUUGAUGAUUCCUUGCCUUUCCAGUGCUUGGGCGCACCUAGCAGCUGCUUCACGCCUCCUGAGAAUGCCGGUAUCUCUUACUUAGGUUGGUGCUGUACGGCUUGGUUGAGCUCAAAAUUCAAUGGAGACGGCAAUUGUCAGUUUUGGGCGUCGUCUGUUCAAUUUUACCGAACUCCUGAACACCGUAUAUUUGUAUGGCAACAGCUGGUGAAGCAGCUUGGAUCUCAUUGGCUCAUCAUGAGGUAUAUACUGGAUAUGUCCCUAUGGAUUACAGAGAAUAUCUUAAGAAGAUGCCAAAGUCAGUGCCUGCUCCUUUUCACUAUUUAUUUACCAGUAAAUAUUUAUCAAUUAGAGUGGAAGGAUGAACUGUCCUUACAUUUCUAUGCUUAUUACUGA
rnacentral:rRNA from 1 species